rnacentral:lncRNA from 1 species
GCUGACUGGCAAUGUAACACCUAACCAUGCACCUCUGAUGCCUAUGAGUACCCUUCUGUAGAAUCGGGAAUUAUUCAUCAACGCCUCUGAUGAGUUCACGUGUUAUGUUUUUUUAUUCCUCUGUGAUGGCACAUGCGGGCUUUUUGUCUCACAUUUCGACCUACUUGAAUAACUUUUAAGCUGGGUGGUUUGUUUGAUUCAAUUCUCUGGAUCUGUCUCUCAUCACUGCACCUCUGAUCUCUCUCUCUCUCUCUCUCUCCCUCUCUUCCUCCCUCUCUCCCGCUCUCUCUCUCUCUCUCUCUCUCUGCCUCUCUCUCCUCGCGGAGCUUAUCUCGGUGCGCAUCGUCAGCAUCAGUUUGAAGUCAAAUCUGACAGCCGCUGCCUUGCCCGGUCCUUUCCUUCUUUUUCUCCCUCCCGUCUCUUUUCCCCCUCCUCUGGUGGUCAUCCCGUCUCGUUUCAGAGGUACAGACCCGGAUUAGUGCGCUAAACGUGUGUAAUUAUUGAUGUACUUUUUCGGGAUGGGGGGGAGAUGGUGGUGGGUGGAUGGACGGAUGGGUGAAAGAAGUGAGUGGUGGUGGGGGGGUUGACCUCGAUUGGCGCCCGGGAUGAGAGAGAGAGAGAUGGAGAGAGUGAGAAAGAGAGAGAGAGAGAGAGAGAGAGAGAGAGCGAGAGAGAGAGUCUCCACAGGCUGGCGUGGCUUUUUCUUUUUUUUUUCUUUUUUUUUCUUCCUCUCAACGUGGUCUUCACCUGUUUUCUGUCUCUGUGUGUUCGCAGUUGAGUCGGGACUGUGGGAGCGCGCGUCUCGUCGCUGGCUUCAACUUGGGGUGAAGAAAGACAGGGAAAACUCCUCGGGAUUCUCCGUACACCGAGCUCUGAUCCGGAUAUUCUGUUUGACGUGCUGAAGUGCUUCUUAAGGAGAAUUCUGGGGAGAUUUCUUGUUCUUUCAUUCCUCAAGGAUGAGGCAGCACAGUGGACCUGUGUGCUGAAACACGUAAGUACUGGAUAUCACGGUGACCUUCAGACGCACAAGCGCACACGCAUAUAAGCUUUCUUUCCCCGGGCCUGGGCCUGACUUGUGCAUGGUUGAUGUUGCUAAAAAG